rnacentral:rRNA from 1 species
GCAUACUACGGUGAAUACGUUCCCGGGCCUUGUACACACCGCCCGUCACACCAUGGGAGUCGGGAAUGCCCGAAGCCGGUGGCCCGAUCGAAAGAAGGGAGCCGUCGAAGGCAGGCCGGAUGACUGGGGUGAAGUCGUAACAAGGUAUC